rnacentral:rRNA from 1 species
UACGAGGGGGGCAAGCGUUGUUCGGAAUUACUGGGCGUAAAGGGCUCGUAGGUGGCCAACUAAGUCGGACGUGAAAUCCCUCAGCUUAACUGGGGAACUGCGUCCGAUACUGGAUGGCUCGAGUUUGGGAGAGGGAUGCGGAAUUCCAGGUGUAGCGGUGAAAUGCGUAGAUAUCUGGAGGAACACCGGUGGCGAAGGCGGCAUCCUGGACCAACACUGACACUGAGGAGCGAAAGCCAGGGGAGCAAACGGG